CCCACUGAUAAAUUAUUUAAUGGCCGCAGUAUUUUAACUGUGCAAAGGUAGCAUAAUAAUUAGUCUUUUAAUUGAAGGCUUGUAUGAAUGAUUGGACGAGAUAUAAGCUGUCUCAUAAAAAUUUUUUUAGAAUUUAAUUUUUUAGUUAAAAAGCUAAAAUAAAUUUAAAAGACGAGAAGACCCCAUAGAUCUUUAUACUUAUUUUAUUAUUAUUGUUAUUUAGUUUUUUUAUAAAUUAAUAAAUAAAAGUAUUUUGUUGGGGUGACAUUGAAAUUUAAUAAACUUUCAAAAAUUUAUUAACAUUAAUUUAUGAAUUUAUGAUCCUUUAUUAUUGAUUAAAAAUUUAAGUUACCUUGGGGAUAACAGCGUAAUUAUUUUGGAGAGUUCAUAUCGAUAAAAUAGAUUGCGACCUCGAUGUUGGAUUAAGAUUAAUUUUAGAUGUAGCAGUUUAAAAUAUUAAGUCUGUUCGACUUUUAAUUUCUUACGUGAUCUG
rnacentral:rRNA from 1 species